rnacentral:misc_RNA from 1 species
CAUGCAACUCAUCUUCAAUGUGAACUUCUGGAAAGUGACUCUUCAAGUAAAGGUUCCUUGUCUGGAUGCCCUGUUUGUAUGCCUAAGAAGAAUACCCAGAGACCUAGAAAUAAAUCAAUCCUUCCUGAGAAUGGUUCAGUAAAUAAGGUUUCAUCAAGAUCAAAACGAUCACAAGGAACUAGCUUUUUACACCUGCAUGAAGAUUCAUUGGACAGUUCACAGCAAAUAUCGCGGUUUGAUAUAUUGACUAAUCUUCGAAAAGACCAGAAAUUAGUCCAGAUAGAGAACAUCCCUCAGUUAAGGCUUGCCCCACCAGCUGUUUAUCAUGAAAAGGUGAAAGAAGGACCUGAGCUUUUGACAGGAGAGAGUAGCAGCGGUGCUGCAAAAAUUGAAAAACCGAGCAAAAGGAGGCAACUCAGGGAGCUGAAAGUGACAGGGUCAUCUCUUCGGUUUCCAUUAAAAUCAAGUAUAUUUGGCAAGGAGAAGAUGAAUAAAAGGUGACUGCUGUUUUGUAAAGACUAACAUUGGUAGAGAUUCCAUAGCUGCAUUUCAACAGGCUGAUGAAUUUUGCUGAUUCGAAAUACAACGUUUGUCUGGCUGAGUUUUUGAUCCCUAAUUCAUUACAUGGAAGUAUAUAUAAUAAUGUUACUCACUGAUCAUUUAUGCUAUGAUUCAGCUUAACUACAAUGAACUUGAGGAC